UAUGUGUUUACGUAAAUAUACAGUUUUUAAACAAGGACGGUGAUGAUCGUUAUCUGGUGUAAUAUAACAUCAGACAAUAAUGUGAUACAGAAUAACGUUAUUAAACUUUAACGGUUUACAGACAAUAAUAACAAUAAUUAUGAAAACACCUUUGAACAAUUAAAAAAAAAAAAAAAACCGAACUGAAAUUGGGUAUACGCCGUUUACUACAGCUAAAUUAUAGGUUGAAUCGUGGAAGAAAAACAAUUCGUAUUAGGCACGUAUAGUAUAUUAAUAAAUAAUGUACAGUGUCCCUGUAAUGUAUUUCGUUCCUUUCACUCUACAAAACUGUUACAUAUAGGAGGGAAAAAUAUACAGAUCGACAAAUGUGUAAUAAUAUAGUAUUCUUUCGGCUGGUGUUUGUCUAUAGUAUACGUAGGUACUU